CGGUAAUUCCAGCUCCAAUAGCGUAUACUAAAGUUGUUGCAGUUAAAAAGCUCGUAGUUGGAUUUCUGCGGGGACGGAGCGGCCGGACGCAACUUGCGUCUCGAGCUAGCGCUUUCCCCGCAUCCUGCCGCGAACCGUGCUACCAUUAGUUUGGUGGCGCUGGGGAUCGGCUCGAUUACUUUGAGAAAAAUAGAGUGUUCAAAGCAGGCCACACGCCUUGAAUAAGUUAGCAUGGAAUAAUGACCAAGGACUUCGGUUCUAUUUUGUUGGUGUUCGGGACUGAAGUAAUGAUUGAUAGGGACAGUUGGGGCGGUCUGUAUUCCAAAGCGAGAGGUGAAAUUCUUAGACCUUCGGAAGACAAACAGCUGCGAAAGCGUUCCGCAAGGAUGUUCCCUUUGAUCAAGAACGAAAGUUGGGGGAUCGAAGACGAUCAGAUACCGUCGUAGUCUCAACUAUAAACUAUACCGGCUAGGGAUCGGCCAACGUUUAAUUAAUCGACUUGGUCGGCACCUUAUGAGAAAUCAAAGCAUCUGGGUUCCGGGGGGAGUAUGGUCGCAAGGCUGAAACUUAAAGGAAUUGACGGAAGGGCACCACCAGCCGUGGAGCCUGUGGCUUAAUUUGACUCAACACGGGAAAACUUACCAGGUCCAGACAUAGGAAGGAUUGACAGAUUGAUAGCUCUUUCUUGAUUCUGUGGGUGGUGGUGCAUGGCCGUUUUUAGUUGGUGGAGUGAUUUGUCUGCUUAAUUGCGUUAACGAACGAGACCCCAGCCUGCUAAAUAGCGCGGCUGAGCUUUGCUCGGUGCGAGCUUCUUAGAGGGACCAUGAUGCGCGAUAGCACAAGGAAGUUUGGGGCAACAACAGGUCUGUGAUGCCCUUAGAUGUUCUGGGCCGCACACGGGCUACACUGGCGCCUGCAACGAGCAUAUCAGCUGGCCCGAGAGGGUCUUGGCUAAUCUUUUGAACCGGCGCCGUGCUUGGGAUUGACCUUUGCAAUUGUUGGUCAUGCAACGAGGAAUGCCUUGUAAACGCGAGUCAUCAGCUCGCAUUGAAUACGGCCCUGCCCUUUGUACACACCGCCCGUCGCUCCUACCGAUGAAUGUUCCGAUGAAAUUUUCGGAGAGCGCCAGAGAACGGGGCUCCGCCUUGCAGAUCUGGAGGCUCAAAGUCACUUAAAUCUGAACAUUUCGAGGAAGGAGAAGUCGUAACAAGGUAGCCG
rnacentral:rRNA from 1 species